UGGGGAAUAUUGGACAAUGGGCGGAAGCCUGAUCCAGCCAUGCCGCGUGUGUGAAGAAGGCCUUUUGGUUGUAAAGCACUUUAAGCGAGGAGGAGGCUACUUGGAUUAAUACUCUAGGAUAGUGGACGUUACUCGCAGAAUAAGCACCGGCUAACUCUGUGCCAGCAGCCGCGGUAAUACAGAGGGUGCGAGCGUUAAUCGGAUUUACUGGGCGUAAAGCGUGCGCAUGCGGCUUCUUAAGUCGGAUGUGAAAUCCCUGAGCUUAACUUAGGAAUUGCAUUCGAUACUGGGAAGCUAGAGUAUGGGAGAGGAUGGUAGAAUUCCAGGUGUAGCGGUGAAAUGCGUAGAGAUCUGGCGGAAUACCGAUGGCGAAGGCAGCCAUCUGGCCUAAUACUGACGCUGAGGUACGAAAGCAUGGGGAGCAAACAGG
rnacentral:rRNA from 1 species